AUGAAGGUGCAGCAGGAGAGGAACAAGCUCCAAGAUGCCCACACCCAGCUAGGAGAAGAGCUGAAAGAUGUUCGGGCCCAGCUGUCUGGCUCCGUGAAGGAGAAUCAGCGGCUUCCUCGCGGCAUUUAUAGUGUGCUCACAGGUCGCCCUGCGGAGGAAAUGCCCGGUUCAACGGGUGACCAACUUCCCGAGCUGGGGCAACUGCUCGAACGUGUUCGGCAGGCGAUGAGUGGCGUCGUUCAGGCCUUAUGGCCUUCCGUCUCCCUACCCGAGGGCCUUGGAGGGCUUGCUGAGAAGCUUCAGGGAGUACGGUGA
rnacentral:rRNA from 1 species